rnacentral:rRNA from 1 species
GACGAACGCUGGCGGCGUGCCUAAUACAUGCAAGUAGAACGCUGAAGGGAGGGGCUUGCUCUUCUGGUAAGUUUCGCGAACGGGAGAGUAACGUGGAGGAAAUCUGCCUGGGAGCGGGGGAUCAAUUUUGGAAACGAUAGCUAAUACCGCAUUAAAUGGAGUAUCAUAUGAUUUUCCAUUAAAAGGUGCUAAUGCAUCAAUACCAGAUGGACCUGCGUUGUAUUAGCUAGUUGGUGGGGUAACGGCUCACCAAGGCGACGAUACAUAGCCGACCUGAGAGGGUGAUCGGCCACACUGGGACUGAGACACGGCCCAGACUCCUACGGGAGGCAGCAGUAGGGAAUCUUCGGCAAUGGACGGAAGUCUGACCGAGCAACGCCGCGUGAGUGAAGAAGGUUUUCGGAUCGUAAAGCUCUGUUGUAAGAGAAGAACGAGUGUGAGAGUGGAAAGUUCACACUGUGACGGUAUCUUACCAGAAAGGGACGGCUAACUACGUG